rnacentral:rRNA from 1 species
AUGCUUAAAAUAGAUCUUGCUAAAGCUUUUGAUCAUUUUGAAUGGAAUUUUAUUGUCUCUGCUCUUUCUCGGAAAGUGUUGCAUGGUCAUUUCAUAAAUUUAGUUCAUGCAUGCAUCUCCUCGCCUAUGUUUUUUGUUGUCAUUAAUGGGCAUCCUUCUAAAAAAAUUAACAGUUCUAGGGGUAUCCAUCAAGGUUGUCCUAUGUCUCCUUAUUUAUUUGUUAUUUCUAUCAAUGAACUCUCCAUUGCCCUUAAUGAAGCUCUUGUUGCUCAUCAAUUACAGGGUGUCUCUCUUAGACUAAAUUGCCCCUCCAUUCACUCUGUUUUAUUUGCGGUUGACUUAUUGGUUUGUGGACAUGCCACUUUGCAGGAAGCUCACACCAUGGCUAAUCUUAAACCAAUUUUGUGUUAUUUUUGGUUAAACUCCAAACUGGUCUGA